CAGCAGCCGCGGUAAUACGAAGGGUGCAAGCGUUAAUCGGAAUUACUGGGCGUAAAGCGUGCGUAGGUGGUGGUUUAAGUCCGUUGUGAAAGCCCUGGGCUCAACCAGGGAAUUGCAGUGGAUACUGGAUCACUAGAGUGUGGUAGAGGAUAGUGGAAUUUCCGGUGUAGCAGUGAAAUGCGUAGAGAUCGGAAGGAACAUCUGUGGCGAAGGCGACUAUCUGGGCCAGCACUGACACUGAGGCACGAAAGCGUGGGGAGCAAACAGGAUUAGAUACCCCCGUAGUCCCUGUCUCUUAUAA
rnacentral:rRNA from 1 species